GAUCAUAAGGCUCAGGAUGAACGCUAGCUACAGGCUUAACACAUGCAAGUCGAGGGGCAGCAUGUAUCUGGCUUGCCAGAUACGAUGGCGACCGGCGCACGGGUGAGUAACGCGUAUCCGACCUGCCGCACACUCCGGGAUAGCCUUGCGAAAGCAAGUUUAAUACCGGAUGCCGUAAGGACGCCGCAUGGUGUUUUUACGAAAGGGGUUUACCGGUGUGCGAUGGGGAUGCGUCCCAUUAG
rnacentral:rRNA from 1 species